rnacentral:rRNA from 1 species
UACAGAGGAUGCAAGCGUUAUCCGGAAUGAUUGGGCGUAAAGCGUCUGUAGGUGGCUUUUUAAGUCCGCCGUCAAAUCCCAGGGCUCAACUCUGGACAGGCGGUGGAAACUACCAAGCUGGAGUACGGUAGGGGCAGAGGGAAUUUCCGGUGUAGCGGUGAAAUGCGUAGAGAUCGGAAGGAACACCAGUGGCGAAGGCGGCUACCUGGACAAAUACUGACGCUGAGGCGCGAAAGCGUGGGGAGCAAACAGG